CAGAUUAACAAUCGCUCCUUCCACGGAAGGUAUCAGAAUCAGAGGUUCCUGCAACUUAUUCUUUAUUCUUUCAAUACCCUUUUGGCAAUCAUUAUUUCACCUGACCGUUUGAUCUUUCUUUUCAACAUCCUGAAUAUGGGUUCACACGUGGCUGUUAGAUGAGAUGUGAACCAUGACAGGUAGUUCAAUCUUUCUAAGAAACCACGAACCUCUCUUUUUCUUUCUCGGUUCAGGCGUUUCUCUUAUUGUUCUUUUUUUUCUUGUUUUUUUUUUUUUUUUUUUUUUUUUUUUUUUUUUUUUUUNUUUUUUUUUUUUUUUUUUUUUUGCAGGAUGAACCUCGAUUCCUCCCUUACAAUGAACCCCAACAGCUUACGGGCCCGCACUCUGACAGU
rnacentral:lncRNA from 1 species